AAACAGCAGAAAUAUUACGUCGUGGUUCCGCAUAGAACGCCCUGCUGGGCCCCUGGUUUACAGAAUAAACCCACCAGCAACACGGUCACCGGUACCCCUGUCGGCAGUGGUACUAAACGUGUCCAAGAUGAUGUUACAACGAAAGGUGAAAAAAAAAAAAGAUAGUCUGGAUUAGAUGCACAAUGGACAACAAAAUAUACGUGGCUGAGAGAAACAUCCGAUGGCAAAGGAAUGCUGUGUCACAUAUGUGGAAAAUUCAACUUAAAAACAUCCAGAAAUAGUUCUUUGGUAUGGAAUUGUAUGCCAUGUAUAAAUAUUACAAAAUAUGCUAUAGAUAAACACGCACACUCGGAGAUGCACAAGAAGGCCAUGUCAUUAGAAGUGGGAAGCAAAGAAAAUCACGGCGUUCUCAAAAGCUGCAGACCACUGGGCUUCCAUGAAAGUCCGAAGAAUCAACAUUACAUAGAAAUCACACAGCAGCAGAUUCAUUUAAUCUUGUACAUAAAUUUGUUAAAAAAUAAAGACACAAUUUCAUCCA